UACGUAGGGCGCAAGCGUUAUCCGGAAUUAUUGGGCGUAAAGAGCUCGUAGGCGGUUUGUCGCGUCUGCCGUGAAAGUCCGGGGCUCAACUCCGGAUCUGCGGUGGGUACGGGCAGACUAGAGUGAUGUAGGGGAGACUGGAAUUCCUGGUGUAGCGGUGAAAUGCGCAGAUAAUCAGGAGGAACACCAGCGGCGAAGGCGGCGUUCUGGGCCGGAACUGACGCUGAGGAGCGAAAGCGUGGGUAGCAAACAGG
rnacentral:rRNA from 1 species